CCUUGCCCAGCCCGCUCAGAAACUACAAGGAAUUGACGGGCCCGGCACAAGCGAGGAGCAUGUGGUUUAAUUCGAUGAUACGCGAGGAACCUUACCUGGGCUCGAACGUAAGAUGACUGUAGGUGAAAGCUUACAUCUCUUCGGAGCAUUUUACGAGGUGCUGCAUGGUUGUCGUCAGCUCGUGCCGUGAGGUGUCGGGUUAAGUCCCAUAACGAGCGCAACCCCUACCUUUAGUUGCCAUCAGGUUAAGCUGGGGACUCUAAAGGAACUGCCUACGCAAGUAGUGAGGAAGGCGGGGAUGACGUCAAAUCAGCACGGCCCUUACGUCCAGGGCUACACACGUGCUACAAUGGCCGAUACAGAGGGCAGCUACCUGGUGACAGGAUGCAAAUCUCCAAAGUCGGUCUCAGUUCGGAUCGGAGUCUGCAACCCGACUCCGUGAAGUUGGAUUCGCUAGUAAUCGCGCAUCAGCCAUGGCGCGGUGAAUACGUUCCCGGGCCUU
rnacentral:rRNA from 1 species